GAUGCAUCUACAAGCCAAGGAAUGCCAAGGAUUGCCAGCAACCACCAGAAACUAGGAAGAGGAAAGGAAGGAUAUCCCCUCGCCACUUCGAAGGGAACAUGACUGUUCUGACAUCAUAAUUGCAGACUUCUAGUCCCUUGGAAUCUGAGAAAAAAAUAUUUCUGUUGCUUUAAGCCACCCAGCCCAUUAUACUUUGUUAGGGCAGCCCUAGGAACCCAAUACAGGGGACCUCUUGUCUUACAUCAGGUGAUCACAUUUCAGGUUUCCUCUUCAUGCCAGUUGGCAGAUAAUACCAGUCAACCUCCAGGAAGGCUUUCCUCAAAAUGUCCUGCCACUUCAUUGGGAAGAGAGUGCUGGCGCUAUCUGACUGAACAACCCGGUCGGGGGUUUACCUUUCAUGUAUCCACCCGCUGUUGCCACAGAUUUCAAGUAAUUACUGCAGUGCUGCCCGGACAUGCCAAAUUCCCAGCUACUUUCCCUCAAGCAGGCAGGUAUAGCCACCUAGUCACAUUGCAUCUUGCCUAGGCCCUUCAGUAGGGCUAUUCAUUAGCAAAAAGAAGUUUUCUCUGUUCCCAAGAACAAAGAAUGCUCCUCAGCCCUUGUGUUUCAGUAGGCAAGCCUUCGCUCUCCACAGGUAGGGAUGGUCUUGCCCUUAGGUGCACUUGACUUGCGCAGUCUUCAGGCUAGCUCUUCCUCUAUGCCAAUAACUCAACUAUGGUGUCUAAUUCAUCAGCUGUGUUUCCAGAUUUUCUAAGGGGAGCUUAGGAAAAACUAACACAUCAUUUCCAUUUUGUUCACAAGAACCUGCAAAUGAUCUCAAAUGAGUCACUAACAGAGCAAAUGUGGCACAUUUUGUAUCCAGAGGCUAACUCAAGUUUAACAGAGAUCACCUCAGAUGCAGGAAACAAAGAAGCCACAUUGAGAUUGGACAUCGGAGUGUGCCUCCAGUCAGGGGAAGUCAGGAUACAUGACAACACAAGAGCAAAGUACCAGCACUGCUUGUAUUACGACAAGGUUUCUUGAAGUCUUCAAGAAAACUUCUGUCGCAGUGACCAUUUGCAGAUUGAAUCCCAUACUUUCAGGAAACAAAACCAAAACUAAAGGUGAGACCAAGAAGGUGAAGGCUUAAAUUCAACUUCCAGUUGACAGAAGGAUAAGGAACUGUCUCGAGAUUUAUUUCUAAAUGUUACCCUUAAUUGCUGCAUGAUUAAAACCAUGUUAAAAAACAUUUUCUAUAAAGUCAGCUGUUUACAAUGAGGAAUUGUCAGGUAGGACUCAAAUGGGCAGGUCGAUGUUCUCAAAGGUCUCUCCCUCCAGAAGGUAGUUGCUAAAUAUAGUGUCAGCUUUAAACAGUGGGUCUGGCCUAAGGAAAGAGAUCCUCUGAGCUUGAGAGGAGCGUGAGCUAAACUGUUCGGAAGACUCAGCAACAAUUUUUAAAGAAUUCUUUUCACAAAUGGCAAUUGGUGGUAGGUGUAAACACUGAUCACGGAACAUUAGGUGAAGUGGAUGCGCUUUCUAUAUGUAAAAUCAUUUUGAUUUUAGGCAAAUGAUUUAUGCACCAAGGAUUACAACUAAUGCACACCUUACAAGGACACCCGUAUAUAAAUCGCUUGAUAAUCCGCAGGAUGCAAUUGGCUAUUCAUUCUGUGAAUAGAACGUAAUGGAAAAGCAUGGAAGCUUAUUUUAUGGGAUCUGCAGGUAAUUUCUGCUACAUGGGUACUUUGCUAUUCCAUAUUUUCCCCCUGGGGCAAUUCAAAUCAUCGUGCUAAAAUUAUAAAUUUCAAGUUAAACGGUAAUAUUUAAAACAAUGUAGAAAUGUGAGAUACAAGUGGAAUAAGUUUUAUGGAAGAGAAAUAUGCUUCUUAUUGGAUAUGCCUAGCAAUGUAAGCCUCUCAAGGCUCCUAGACAUUAUUUUCUCAAAGUAAAUUAGGAACUCCUGGCAUGACUAUAAAACUUUUCAUGUUCUGGAAUGUGCCCUGUUCUUGUUGAGAACCCAAAACCUAAUUUCACACUAAUUAAAUGCAAGACAAACACAUGUAGAUAUAAUUCUGUUUGUCUUAAAGGAUAACAUUUCCUUUUUACCAUGUGUACAUGUGUAUAUAAAUUUUAAAUUUAAAAACCUUUUCCUAAACCUAUUAAGCCCAUGGCUCAUUUUCAGGCAUGACUAAUAGGACUUUCUUAAAAUCAUAGAUUUUUAAACUUUAAACCCUAAUUAAACUGGCAUCCGGAUUUUGCAAAUAAAUUAAUAAAUACAAAAGUUAAAGUGCA
rnacentral:lncRNA from 1 species